rnacentral:misc_RNA from 1 species
AUUUUAUAACGUUGUUGACAUUCCGUUGUAAUGCAUGGGCCCACAUGUGAUAUUUUCAUCAAUGAUUUAGCAUAAUUUCUGACGCUUUGUGAUAUAUAUUUCUGAAAAUAAUGAGUUAAUGCACUGUGUUGUUGAGUGAUCCGAACAUGACGAGCCGGCGAAAUCUACAGGAGGUGCCGAUGGGGGAUGACAACCGCCCAACCCCCACCAGAACCGUUACAUCCCUGGCAGUAUCUGCAGCUUGCGGCCUCGUGUUUGGGUUUGCAAUUGAAAAAGGAAAAGGUUCAAAAGAACACAUUAUUUUUUUUUUUAUUAAUGAAAUUGCACAGCGGUACUGUAUAUAUAUACAGUUCCCAAGCAUGCCGACUUAAUUGUACAUGUGUACUGAGUAUUGUAUAAUGAAAGUAAACAAACUGCAUGAGAAGGUUACGUAUUUGUACAAUACAUGUAGAUACAAUGCAAGGACUUCUUUAUUAUAGUCUAAGUAAAAUUGAACUCUGACUUUUCUAUUCCUAUAAUAACUAUAAUUGAUGAUCAUGGGGAAAUUGUACAUUAAAAUCUGUUAAAUUUUCAUUUCAGUUUAUGAACCUGCUGUAGUAAAAAAUCAGAUGUUCCUUUCACAAUUUAUUAUGAUGAAAAUGUUCCUUUCUGGAAUAAUAUCAGGGAUGUUUGUAUUGGCCGUGAUGUCUAUGCUGCCGUUCACCAGACGUCAGUACCUCGGGGCUAAGUCCGUCUUCGUGCGGGGUCUCCGUGAGAAGGGAUUCCUGACCACCCUCUCGGGGGGAGCCUUGUUAGGAUCAGGGAUGGCUAUAGCUGGAAGUGUAGGGAUACAUUUAAAUAUUCAUAAAUUUCCAUAAAAAAGAAAAUGAAACUACAUAGACUAAAACGAUAUUUAGGUUCACACACUCUUUACAUUAAAGUGUAAAGAGUUGAUAUACUUGUGUGUCAUAAAUAUUACAUGUACUUACUGUCCUUUUGAUAACAUAUAUUUAUUCUUUAGGGAAUAAUGCAAAGGUGUGAUUGUAUUCCUCUAAUGAUGUAGGUGCAAGGCACAGAUUUGUCACCCAUUCUUGCUCUCUUUUCUUUCCUUCAGUGUCCAGGAGUAAUUCUUGCACAGCUUGGAUCAGGAACACAGAAUUCAAUGUACACAUUACUGGGAGCAUUAUUCGGGACCCUGCUCUAUGGGAUCCUAGAACCAGUCGUCACAGACCUGACCAAACCAGCACAAACAAUACGAUUCCAAUUUUUGUACAAUGUGUAUGGAUCUCCCUUCUUUGUGAUGGCCUUGCCGUCUGCUGCAGUUCUUUCCUUAGUUGUGUUCACUUUGGAGUUAGCUUAUCCCUGGGAAGAAGAAAUCAAUAUUACAGACUCUGUCUACCAAUCUAGCAGCUGGAUUACCUCCCCUGCAUGGCCACCAUUUGUAUCUGGAAUUACUGUUGGCAGUUUGCAAAUACCUGUUGUAUUAGUCAUUGGAGACACCUUAGGAGCCAGCAGUAGCUUCUGUACCAUCACGUCUCAGUUUUUUCUUCACAAGUCCUCUAAGAGAUUAUCACCUUAUCUCCUGAAAUUCCAAUCAGGCAUUAAAAAUUGGUGGCAGGUUGCAUUUGUUUUGAGCUCUAUAUUUGGGGCUUUCUUGUCCUCCAUCCUGUCUGGGACGUACAGUUCUGUGGCAGGUGUCUCCAUUGUUCAGUCGUUUGUUGGAGGAGCUCUGAUACUGUUUGGAGCCCGAAUGGCUGGAGGAUGUACCAGUGGGCAUGGACUCUCUGGAAUAGGUUUAUUAAACCUUCUGUCCAUCAGCACCAUGGCUGCAAUGUUUGUUGGGGGAGUUUUAACAGCCAUGAUCCUGCAGUGGAUCAGUUAGAGAACUGUAUACAUGUAACAGACCAAAGACAAUGUACAUUCACUGCUUAUAUUUUGUAUUUUCACAAUUUAUCAUUUACAUUUUAUUUUACAUACAUUUCUGUUAAAAAGAAUUUGUUAAUAAAAAUUCCAAGC